UUUCCAGUGCUAUUAAAUAAGCACAUACAGUAAGAUUUUUGACUAUGCUUUAAAUAGAACUUACUGGAUAGUAAUUGGGAACAACUAAGCUUUGUUCUCAAAGUGCUUGGCAGAUAUAGCAGGUGUAUGAGUAUUUUUUGCUGAGUAUACCUAGAUGCUAAGCAAUUGAAAGUUGUGGGGGAGCUAGUAAGUCAGGAAUGCAGAAAUGAAGCUGCCUCGGGUGUAUUGCACUGGAAUUAAGCUUUGACUGCCAUGCCCUAGUGUACAAAGUUAUAACAAAAAUAAAUCCCCAUUUGUGUGAUCACAGAUACAUCUUCUCUGUUUCUAAAUCUUCAGGAAAGGCUUACUAAAGGUCAGCAAAAGUUUCCUUCUAAGGAUAACAAGGUGUUGAAGAAAUGAACUAGAAAUUAACUCUUGAUUUCUAGUUAACCCUAAGCAUUUCUGCCUUGCCCUCUUCUUCAAAAAGGACAGAAAUACCCAAGGGGAAAAGUAGAUACACUGAAGACAGGGACUUGUCUAGUGAUGGAUUUUACAGAUUAUUUCAG